AUUGAACGCUGGCGGCAGGCUUAACACAUGCAAGUCGAGCGAGCGGCGGACGGGUGAGUAAAGUCUGGGAAACUGCCCGAUGGAGGGGGAUCACUACUGGAAACGGUAGCUUAUACCGCAUACCAUCAGAUGUGCCCAGAUGGGAUUAGCUAGUAGGUGGGGUAAAGGCUAACCUAGGCGACGAUCCCUAGCUGGUCUGAGAGGAUGACCAGCAACACUGGAACUGAAACACGGUCCAGAAUCCUUGUUGUGGCAGCAGGGGGGAAUAUUGCACAAUGGGCGAAAGCCUGAUGCAGCCAUGCCGCGUAUGUGAAGAAGGACUUCGGGUUGUAAAGCACUUUCAGCGGGGAGACGUUACGCGCAGAAGAAGCACCGGCUAACUCCGUGCCAGCAGCCGCGGUAAUAC
rnacentral:rRNA from 1 species